AUGCCUACGGGAGGCAGCAGUGGGGGAUAUUGCACAAUGGGGGGAACCCUGAUGCAGCGACGCCGCGUGGGCGAGGGAGCGCCUCGGCGCGUAAAGCCCUUUCGGCGGGGGAGAACGAUGACGGUACCCGACGAAGAAGCACCGGCUAAAUACGUGCCAGCAGCCGCGGUAAUACGUAUGGUGCGAGCGUUGUCCGGAUUUACUGGGCGUGAAGGGGGCGCAGGCGGCGCGCCAAGCCCGAUGUGAAAGCCCGGGGCUCAACCCCGGGACGGCUCUUGGAACUGCGUGGCUGGGGUGCAGGGGGG
rnacentral:rRNA from 1 species